rnacentral:rRNA from 1 species
AGUGGCGGACGGGUGAGUAACGCGUAAGAAUCUAACUUCAGGACGGGGACAACAGUUGGAAACGACUGCUAAUACCCGAUGUGCCGCAAAGUGAAACCUAAUUGGCCUGGAGAAGAGCUUGCGUCUGAUUAGCUAGUUGGUGGGGUAAAGGCCUACCAAGGCGACGAUCAGUAGCUGGUCUGAGAGGAUGAGCAGCCACACUGGGACUGAGACACGGCCCAGACUCCUACGGGAGGCAGCAGUGGGGAAUUUUCCGCAAUGGGCGAAAGCCUGACGGAGCAACGCCGCGUGAGGGAGGAAGGUCUUUGGAUUGUAAACCUCUUUUCUCAAGGAAGAAGUUCUGACGGUACUUGAGGAAUCAGCCUCGGCUAACUCCGUGCCAGCAGCCGCGGUAAUACGGGGGAGGCAAGCGUUAUCCGGAAUUAUUGGGCGUAAAGCGUCCGCAGGUGGUCAGCCAAGUCUGCCGUCAAAUCAGGUUGCUUAACGACCUAAAGGCGGUGGAAACUGGCAGACUAGAGAGCAGUAGGGGUAGCAGGAAUUCCCAGUGUAGCGGUGAAAUGCGUAGAGAUUGGGAAGAACAUCGGUGGCGAAAGCGUGCUACUGGGCUGUAUCUGACACUCAGGGACGAAAGCUAGGGGAGCGAAAGGGAUUAGAUACCCCUGUAGUCCUAGCCGUAAACGAUGGAUACUAGGCGUGGCUU